rnacentral:rRNA from 1 species
UACAGAGGUGGCAAGCGUUGUUCGGAAUUACUGGGCGUAAAGGGCGCGUAGGCGGCCUUCUAAGUCAGACGUGAAAUCCCCCGGCUUAACCUGGGAACUGCAUCCGAUACUGGAUGGCUUGAAUCCGGGAGAGGGAUGCAGAAUUCCAGGUGUAGCGGUGAAAUGCGUAGAUAUCUGGAGGAAUACCGGUGGCGAAGGCGGCAUCCUGGACCGGCAUUGACGCUGAUGAGCGAAAGCUAGGGGAGCAAACGGG